rnacentral:lncRNA from 1 species
UCUGAUUCCAAGGUCCACAUUGCUGUUUCAACUACACUUACCAUCUUCUUAUCCCUAGCAUGCAUAUUGGAUUCUCUUUUGCUUGUCUGAGUACUUAGCUGGAAUCUGAGUGGUUCCUUCAGUUCAUUUUCCAAACCCUUCUGCCAGAACAAGCUGGUUCUUCUGGGAAGACGGAACUGCCUACGGCCAUAUGCACCCAUCUGUUCUUCUCUGCAAAAAUGUCUUGGCCUUUUCCACACAGAGCCAGUGGGUGGUGGGGGUGACCACUGCAGGUGGACAGGCCAGGCCUGAAGUUUCUCACUCAUUAACCUGGAGCAACAAAAUGGAAAGAAUUCUGAUGACAAAGUAGAGAACCUGUCCCUUUGCUGGCUCUGAGGAUGACUGACUGUUGUGUGGGUGAGGUCUGCAGACAGAAGCCAGCUCUGCUCUCUCCAUUGGUAAACAUGGGUGGGAGCAUGGGAAACUCCAAGAGGCCAACCCUUGUGAGUGUUAGUGAAAAACAGCAAAGUGUUAGGAAGAAAAGUGAGUCCUAACUCAGAACUGCAAAUGCCCACCAAUAUUGGUUGCUCCCUGCCUUAUUAGACAUUUUCAUUUGUAGCACCUUUAAAAGAUAUGAUUUCCUAAUGUCAUGGCACUUUAUUUUCUGGGUCAUGUUGGCUUCGUGGUUAAGCAGGUGCAAACAUUGAAUUGGCCAGGUGAGCUGCCAGGAUGACUGAAACACAGGGGGUUUGGAUCAUCUGGACAACAGGACUGAGUGGAAAUUAAUGGGCGAGGGUUUCAGAGAUGAGACUUUGAAUCCAAGCUUUGCAUUUUACUGUAAGAGUUUGGGCAAGUUGUUUAACCUCCGAAAGGCUUUGUUUUCUUCAUUUGCAAUAUCCC